rnacentral:rRNA from 1 species
GACGAACGCUAGCGGCAGGCCUAACACAUGCAAGUCGAGGGAGGAGCCUUCGGGCUUCGACCGGCGUACGGGUGCGUAACGCGUAUACAAUCUGCCUUUCACAUAGGGAUAGCCCGAAGAAAUUUGGAUUAAUACCUAAUGGUAUAUAGAUGUGGCAUCACCUUUAUAUUAAAGCUGAGGCGGUGAAAGAUGAGUAUGCGUUCUAUUAGCUAGUUGGAGAGGUAACGGCUCCCCAAGGCGACGAUAGAUAGGGGUUCUGAGAGGGAUAUCCCCCACACUGGUACUGAGAUACGGACCAGACUCCUACGGGAGGCAGCAGUGAGGAAUAUUGGACAAUGGUCGGAAGACUGAUCCAGCCAUGCCGCGUGCAGGAAGACGGCCUUAUGGGUUGUAAACUGCUUUUGCAGGGGAAGAAUAAGGACUACGCGUAGUUUGAUGACGGUACUCUGCGAAUAAGCAUCGGCUAACUCCGUG